rnacentral:rRNA from 1 species
GAUAAACGCUGGCGGCGUGCUUAACACAUGCAAGUCGAACGAAGUUUUUCUUUCGGGAGGAACUUAGUGGCGGACGGGUGAGUAACGCGUGGGUAACCUGCCCUGUACAGGGGGACAACAGCUGGAAACGGCUGCUAAUACCGCAUAAGCCCUUAGCACUGCAUGGUGCAUAGGGAAAAGGAGCAAUCCGGUACAGGAUGGACCCGCGUCUGAUUAGCCAGUUGGCAGGGUAACGGCCUACCAAAGCGACGAUCAGUAGCCGAUCUGAGGGGAUGUACGGCCACAUUGGGACUGAGACACGGCCCAGACUCCUACGGGAGGCAGCAGUGGGGAAUAUUGCACAAUGGAGGAAACUCUGAUGCAGCGACGCCGCGUGAGUGAAGAAGUAUUUCGGUAUGUAAAGCUCUAUCAGCAGGAAAGAAAAUGACGGUACCUGACUAAGAAGCACCGGCUAAAUACGUG